AUGAGGGCGUGUGGGCUUAAUAUCCCC
rnacentral:rRNA from 2 species